rnacentral:rRNA from 1 species
GAUGAACGCUGGCGGCGUGCCUAAUACAUGCAAGUCGAGCGAACAGGCGAGGAGCUUGCUUCUCUGACGUUAGCGGCGGACGGGUGAGUAACACGUGGAUAACCUACCUAUAAGACUGGGAUAACUUCGGGAAACCGGAGCUAAUACCGGAUAAUAUAUUGAACCGCAUGGUUCAAUAGUGAAAGACGGUUUUGCUGUCACUUAUAGAUGGAUCCGCGCCGCAUUAGCUAGUUGGUAAGGUAACGGCUUACCAAGGCAACGAUGCGUAGCCGACCUGAGAGGGUGAUCGGCCACACUGGAACUGAGACACGGUCCAGACUCCUACGGGAGGCAGCAGUAGGGAAUCUUCCGCAAUGGGCGAAAGCCUGACGGAGCAACGCCGCGUGAGUGAUGAAGGUCUUCGGAUCGUAAAACUCUGUUAUUAGGGAAGAACAAAUGUGUAAGUAACUAUGCACGUCUUGACGGUACCUAAUCAGAAAGCCACGGCUAACUACGUG